GUUGGGAAUAUUGGGCAAUGGGCGCAAGCCUGACCCAGCGACGCCGCGUGGGGGAUGAAGGCCUUCGGGUCGUAAACCCCUGUCAGGAGGGACGAAGCCGCAAGGUGACGGUACCUCCAGAGGAAGCCCCGGCUAACUACGUGCCAGCAGCCGCGGUAAGACGUAGGGGGCGAGCGUUGUCCGGAUUUACUGGGCGUAAAGCGCGUGUAGGUGGUUCGUUAAGUGGCGCGUGAAAGUUCGCAGCUCAACUGCGAAUCGUCGUGCCAUACUGGCGGGCUUGAGGGCAGCAGAGGAUGGUGGAAUUCCCGGUGUAGCGGUGAAAUGCGUAGAUAUCGGGAGGAACGCCAGUGGUGCAGACGGCCAUCUGGGCUGUCCCUGACGCUGAGACGCGAAAGCUAGGGGAGCAAACGGGAUUAGAUACCCGUGUAGUCC
rnacentral:rRNA from 1 species